UCCCUCGCACUCGCAGCGCGGGAAAACAUGCACGGUCCGUGGCGCGGUCAAGUCAAGGAUCUGAUGUUCAUUGCUGCCAGCACGGGGCCAUAAAUAAGUCGCUGACUUCAAAACACCGUGAAGAGGACGAAUGGCAAGAGUGGUGUUGUUGGCAGCAGCGUGCUGCCUGGCGACUGCGGCCUUCAUGCUGCUGAGCGUGCAGCCGUGCGCCAGGGCCGCCCUGAUCGUCCACAAGGCCAACUCGACCGCCUGCUACACCUGCGACCUGGACGUGGACUUCUCGGGCCGCAACUUCAUGUGCUGCCUCGUGCACAGCCGUUGCUGCGGACCCGAAAAGCUGGAAAGAAAAAGACGAUCAUGGCUAUGAAGAUGUUACUCCGAGAAUUCGACUCGAAUAAAGUUCGCGAUAUGUUCUGCACGAAAGCACACACUCAUUUGUAAUAAAGUUAUAUUAAUUGCCAA